rnacentral:lncRNA from 1 species
CCUCGACCAAGGUUGGGGCGCCCCGAGGUCCGACCGUAGGGUCUCAAGCUCCCUCGACCUCGGAAAGAGUUACGAAUCAAUAAAGCCUUCCCAGAUCCUCUCAACUUCGGCGGGUGUCGUCGGGUCCGUGAGAAGCCCGAGUCCCCUAACAAGUCAAAAACGACUCCGAAAGCUGAAGAGGAAGGGAAACAACCCACUCCGCCACAUGGAGUACAACUCUGGGAAUGAAAAAGGUACGUCCAACUCGACGUUCUCCUUGUCAAAUUUUAUCUACAUGAUGCUAGCGGAAUCUCAGCCAAAAUUGGAGCCUUAUUUCGCCCUAAAUCGGGCUACUCCAAUGGGUCGGCUUAAGACCGAUCUCCCGACGACAUUAUGCAUGCUCCGCUCGUCAAAUCUCCACAACUCGUACAAGUCUUCACAAAUUAGG